UGAAUCCUCUCCCUACACCCAUUACUGCCCCCUCAAUGGUGAAUCCUUCCACCUCACCUGCACCUGCGGCAUACCCGCUGCCGACGACUUCAACCUCUCCUCCUUCUGCAUCAUUGACAAACCCAACAUCAAACCCAAUGACGCCUGCUAUCAGCAUGCCACCUCCUGCUCUCACCACAACUCCACCCACUGCCCCAGGUCUUUCCGGGCAGCAACUAUGGUGUGUGGCCAAGGCUGACUCAGCAGAUACUGCACUUAAGAAUGCACUGGACUAAGCGUGCGGCAUUGGAGGAGCAGAUUGCUUAGCAAUACAACCAUCAGGCACUUGUUAUUAUCCAAAUACCUUAGGUGCACAUGCAUCCUAUCACUACCGGAGAAGUGAUCUUUGCCUGGUGGAAAAAAACCACAAUAGUCCCAGUUCCAAAAACUAUCUUUAGCCCCGGUUAAAAAUCUCACAACCAUUAUAUGAUCUUUAGUCCCGAUUGGUAACAACAACCGGGACUAAAGAUGGUUCAUCCCCUGUCAGCCUGUCAGGGUGCUAAUGAUCUUUAGUCCCGAUUGGUGCACCAACCGGGACUAAAGAUCACUAUUUUAAUCCCGGUUGGUAUUUCUAACCGGCACUAAAGAUUAAGAUGAUCAUUAGUCCCGGUUGGUAUUACCAACCGGGAUUAAAAUUUAAUGCGUAGUAUAUAAUCACUCUCCCUUAUUCUCUCAACCACACUUAUCCUCUCAACCCACAGAUCCGGCCCCUUCUCUUCUUCCUCCUCCCCUUCCUCCUCCCUCCCACAGAUCCCCUCUCCUCCCCUCUUCCUCCCUUUCCAUCCGGCGGGCAGGCGGCCGGCGGCCAGUGGGGCCACGCCCGGCGGCAGCGGCCGGCGGGGCCGCGCGCUGCAGCGGCGGGAAGGCGGCCGGCAGGCCCGCGCACGGCGGCGGGGCCACAGGCGGCGGGCGCCGGCGGGCAUGGGGCCGGCGGCCGGUGGGGCAGCAUCGGCGCCCUCUCCUCCUUUCUUUUUUUUUUCAUAUAAUUUGUGAUUCACUAAGAUGUAUAAUUUGGUGAUUCAUUGCAUUGAUCUGAUUUGUGAUGUAUUUGAUUUGGAACACAACAGUCUUAAUUUGUGAUUCACUUGUGAUGUAUUUGAUUUGUGUGUAUAAAUAACUUAAAGAUUUGGGAUGUGAAUGAUUUGGGAUGUCACUUUUGAUUUGGGGAUUUAGGGUUUGAUUUGGGAAUAUGCAUCCCACUGGAUUUGGGAGAAAAUACAGGGAUUAAAGAAAAAGAAAAGGGGACGAAGGACCGCCGCUAUUCUCUCUUUAGUCCUAAAGAUCUAUUUUUAGUCCCGGUUAUUUCAACCGGGACUAAAAAUGGGUAUCUUUAGUCCCAGAUUCCUCGUCCCGAUUGCAUAACCGGGGAAAAAAAAACAGUUGCCACCCGGUGGCAAAGAUCAGUUGUGCAGCAGUGUACGCUUUCAACAGCUAUUACCAGAGGAGCCCUGCACCCUCCAGCUGCGAUUUUUGGGGGACGACAAUGCUUGUCAAUGUGAAUCCCAGUAAGGAUGAAUCUCCUCUCAUUUCAAUGUCAUUAUGUUUGUGUUGUAAAGAUCAUUUUAUGUGUGUAUAUUUCCUUUGCAGGCUCAGGAAGCUGUGUUUUGGCAUCGUCAAUGUCGUUACCAUCAAGGUGAAAAUCAUUUCAACUCUGAAAAGGAAUUGUGAUGGUAGGGUUUUUGGAAGGAACAGUGAUGAUUAUUGGUGCUGGGUUUGUAGAUGGGACUGUGAUUGGCAUCGUUGGAUUAGUUGCCUGUUCAUCGUGGGCAGUUUGUUUGCCUGCAGUUUUAACUAACAAAUAGUUAAUUAGUCAUUGAGUGUCAUCAUUAGCAAACCAAAGGCUUUUAUUAUGUCCUGAUUAAGCUCAGGUCAGCCUUCUAAAAGAUGUACUAGUACUUAAUCAAAGAGUAGUCGUUUUUUUUUAAAAAAAACAGGACACAAUUUGUAAUAUCCAUGAGUAGGAAACGGUCGUGAUUCAGGCAAUUAAAAAGGACUAAUGAUCCAUUAGGUGGGAUGUGGGAUUGAACAUAGAUAAACUAGUUGGCAGCCCGCGUAUUUGCCGCGGGUUUUAUAGUUUUAUCGUCAAACAAAAUCAUAAAAAUGGUUAGGUGUAACUCUAUGUAUAUACAAAAUAUAUGAUAAUAUGGAUUUAUAUAUGUCUUAUGUUAUUACAAUACAAUUUAGCUUUAUUUUUUCAAACAUCAUUGUGUAUUGUUAUAAUAUAUGAAUAUUAUUUUCAUAUGCAAUAUGGGUUUCGUUAUAGUUAGACAAUUUACAUUUCUCUACUUCACUCAAGUUUUUUCUGAAAAUAGAUUCAGGUAACGAUACCUAAUAAUUAUAUGCUAUUUUGUCAUGCGUAAUAAAAAAAACAUACAUAUUAAACAAUAAUCACAUAAUAAACAAUAAUUUGAGUAGUAUUUGGAAAACAUGGUGUUAUGCACAAAAUAUAUAACAGUGCUAUGUGUGACAGUGAGGUAGAGCAAAGGGAGGUGAAUGGAUAACUAAUAAAUGAUUGAAUUGGAUGAAUAAGUGGCUUCUUGAUCCAAUGGUUAUUAUCUUUAUACUAAUAUUUUAUACUAAUAUGAUCAAAUGGCUUAAAAUUUUUGAUGACGUAGCUUCUUACAUGUCUUACUUUAUAGGAAUAAAUGCCCCUAGUGUGUACCAACUAUAUAGAAAGAUAGGAUUAGAUUUCCUUUCCAUGCUCUUGUAAUAUUCUACUAGUAGUAAGAAAAGAGACGAAAUAGCGUUAUGUCGUGGUUCCCCCAUUCCAUUGGAUGGUGUAUUAUCAAAUUUCUCGGUCCAAAGAACAAGACCAAAUUGUUAAUUUGGUCAAGUCCAAUCCCUCGUCACGCUAAGCUCUUGCAACCAAACAGGAAUGUACAAGUCGAAAUACCUCUAAAACUGGUGUAGGAUUAAAGGAAUGAUGAAAAACCGUAGUCAUAUGCUAGCCAAAUGGAGGAGCAAACGCGGUGCAUUAGGGAGCUAGAGGGAAGGAAAAGGGAAAAACAUGGGAACAGAAAGGAAGAUCUGGCCUUGUGGACGCCAGCAGCAACUAUACAACACUUUGAUAGUUCAUACACAGUGAACUGAACUGAAGGUGCAGAUGGAAGCAGAGGAAUAAGCACACAGACCUGAGCAGCAGGGAAGCGCGCGGGAGAGGAUGCAGGAGCAGGAGAGGAGGAGGAGGAAGAGGAAGAGGAAGAGGAAGAAGAAGAUAUCCUAUCUCCUGGCCAUAGUUGUGCUGUGUUGCUGGGAAGCUCAAGAAAUGCGAUUUGGGAGUGGAGAAAGGGACAUAGGGGAGUGGGGAACUGGCGAUAUGACUAGAGAG
rnacentral:lncRNA from 1 species